UCUUACUGUCAGCAUUAUGGCUCCAUACUUAGUGUGAAAACAUUGUUCAGCAUUUCUAAUUAAACAGAGGAAAUUCCAUGAAAAUUAUGAAGUGCCUCCCAGUGUCGGGCAGUAACGUCACUACAAAUAGCGUCGUUAGUAGUUUAACUACAUUUUUCUGUAACGACGUGGUAGCGUCGUUGUUUACAAAAUCAAAAAACGUUUCAACAGCUUAGCUAAUCUUUUGGUCAUGUAGCGCGGUAGCGAACGCAAAAAGCUACAUUUUAAAAUGAUGAAUGUUGAACUGCUUGAAGCGGAGCUUUCUGCUCUGCUGCAGUCUCAUCUCACACUUUUAAGGAUCAGACAGUGACAUCCUCUCCAAACGCCGAUAUGUCUGUGUCGACCAAUAGAAGCGGAGGAACUGUUGAUGUCGUCAUUCAACAAUCCCUUCCACUGCAUCCACACACACACAAACGCUCGCUUCAGUUCACUGAGAGAUGGCAGAGAAGGACCGAAGGAGUCAGAGUCACCGUGGCCCUACCUAAAUAGUUAUAUGAGUUUUUGUGAAAAAACGGAGAAAAGUUGUUUUCAGAUACCUACUGUGCCCAAGGCGAAGUUUCUGUCAACUUCAAAGACGUCAACUACAAAUCAGAGAACCCAUAUACAGGUGACUACCGAAUAUGCACAACCAGCAGCAGUUAGCUAACCACCACAUGUCAACCACAGUAUAAGAUGCACACACAAACGAGCUAGUUUUCAACAUCUAAAAUUCGCGUGGCAGUAAAUUAAUUAAAUUAAGCGUAAGGUUGUGGUGGCAGUGUGUGAAUAUGUAUAAAUUGGGGGAUUAAAUAAUUAAACUGAUACAUAUAGGAGGGAAGAGGUAUGGGAGAAAACGAGGUAACAGUAAAACCAAAAUCUGUCUUCUUCAGUAUUACUGUUGACACUAAUGAGCAAAUGGCUGAAAAAAAUAACAGCAAGGGUAACAAAAGUGAUGGCAUAAAUGAUUAAAUAUCUUAAUCUUACACUCAAGACCAAAAUUGAGUUAAGUAGUAGUGGAUACAGCACUUUGGGAAAGCAUUGAAUGAUUUUACAUAGAUAUUAGACUUAAGAAAUAAAACUUGAUUUAAUACCCAACGUGAAUACCCAAAUUAUGUAUAAAAUUGUCUUACUAUAAUAUUGCUUACUUUAUAUGGAAAUUAUAUCAAAUGUAACCUAUUAUACCCUCCAAUGUAAGUGGUGUGUUAAUAUAAGCUACUGCAACUUAAUUAUCAGAUACAUUAUGUCUGCAAUACAAACUAAAAACAAAAUCAAAACAAUGAUUUCUAAUGUUAAAAGGUUGAUUCAUUUUAAAUAUAGCUCCACAUAUUCCUCAGUGUAUCAACUUACUAAGUUUGGAGCCCUGAGAACAAAAAUGAUGGUUUAAUAAUAAACAAGUCAGCAUUUUCUUGUCUCCGUUUGACUGACUUCAUUAGUCCCUGAAAUUUUUUGGUAAGAAAAAAAAGUAACUUGAAUGUAUUAAGCUACUUUGGCCAUAUUGCUGUAGCUUAGCUUGCUACAUUUCUGUGGGUCGUAGCUUCAGUGUAGUGAAGCUUGAUUUAACACAGAGUAGCUGGUAGCUUAGCUCAUUACAGUUUCCAAGUAGCUUGCCCAACACUGGUGCCUCCCACCUGACCCUCCUCAUGAUCAGCAGAGAUUUGGCUAUAGCAAAAAAUGGUGCUGAACAAAAAACAGAUUGCAGAUUGUUUGCAGUUUUAAACAGAGCUCAACUGUGUUUUCAGUGCUAUCAGUACUCUAAUUCCUACUUCUUGGCUUAUGAUUGAUUAUUUUACGCGACACACUUCAGCUUUAUUAUUAUUAUUAUUGUUAUUAAUUUAUUUUAAAAGGGACCAUGUACAGUAAAAAACAUAAAUGUUGCCAUUUGAUGUAUUGCAUCAGAGUUAGCCUUAAGCUAAUUUCCAUCUGCAGUCCCUUGGUAGAUCACGGCUUAUGAAUUCUGCUGUUGUGAGGAUGACAGGAAGAGAUCAAAAGCAAAGACGUGGCAGAAACAGUUUGUCAAGUUCAACAUUAUCACAUCAAAUGCAGCCUAUGAAAGCUUAACAGCUGAUAUUAUAAUUAUUAUUAUUCAUGUUUUAUUAUGAAUAAUCAUUGGUGACCCCAAUGAUUUGGAGAAACGUCGUGCUGCAUUUGGGAAGAACAUCAUCCCUCCAAAAAAGCUCAAGAUGUUCCUGCAGCUGGUGUGGGACGCUCUGCAGGACGUCACGCUCAUCAUCCUGGAAAUCGCUGCCAUAGUCUUGCUCGGCCUCUCUUUCUACAACCCACCAGGGGGCAACAAUGAAAUGGUCAGUCUGUUUAUUUUGUUAUUAACCACGCCUGACGUACGUCUGCGGGGUUACUGCAUUCGGUGCGGUAUCUGGCUGGGUAAGUAUGAAUGUGGGUAUGUAUGUAUGUAUGUGUGUAUGUCCGGUCAGAUAUCUCUGCAAGUGCUGAAGUCAGGAUAAUCAAACUUGGCACUGAAGAUCAGUCUAAGGUCCCCUGCUCAGUUGUGGAGUUAGAGGUCAGCAGAUCAAGUAGGAAGGGAUAUACGUAGGAUGAUCAAAAUUGAUAGAGUAUCAUGCAUGGCAGGGUUUUUGCCAGGGCAGGGUUUUCGCCAGUAGAGGGCGUGGUUCUGCCCUCUACUGUGGGCUCGUCUAGUUUAGUUCUAACUGUCAUUAUUUGUUUCCGGCAUGCGGGCAAGCUGCAGGUGGUGCAGAGAGCGAGGACGAGGCCCAUGCCAGCUGGAUUGAGGGCACCGCCAUCCUGUUCUCGGUCACUAUCGUGGUACUGGUGACGGCCUUCAAAGAUUGGUCCAUGGAGAAGCUGGUCCGCGGGCUGCAGAGUCGCAUCGAACAGGAACAGAAAUUUACAGUCAUCCGCAGAGGUCAAAUCAUCCAGAUCUCUGUGGCGGAGAUUGUAGUUGGAGACAUCGCUCAAAUCAAAUACGGUUUGAAAUCCACACACCAAACUGAAGCAGCUAAUCUGUGCCACAAAACUCCAGUUUCAAACUCAGUCAUGAUCAGAUGUUCGGCUCUUUGUUUUCUCCACUCUUGAAGAUUCAUUGUGAUUAGAAUCAGGUUAAAGUGAUCCUUUAAACAGCUCAGCAGGGAUUCACCAUGAAGCCAACAUGAGAAGGUAGAGAAUCCAAACAGUCUUCAUCUGCUCCUGUAAAGUCUCAUGUCUCACACUGGCAGUUGGUUCUUGUUAACGAGCAACUGUCCCCUUUCGAUACAUUAAAACAUCGAAUUUGUUGUAUUUUCCGGAUUUAAAAAUCUUUAAGCCUUUUCAUGUUUUUGUUCGAAUGUUGCAUCGGAACUUUGGAUAUACUGGGCAGCUACAAACGUCUGUCUUUGGGCCAACAACAAUGUACCUAUAAAUGGAUGUGUUUGUUGGUGCUUUCCAUGAAGUUGGGCUGGGACUUGGUUGGUGAAAAGGUCCACUGAUCACUUUAAAUGUGUCAGAUGAUUUUUAAAUGUUUCACUGAGUUCAUGUUAACAACAGUAAAGUGGAGGUUAAGUGUUCACAAUAGAAACCAGGUAAAAAGUAGAAGUUAAAGAUGCAACAGCAUCAGACUGGACGGGUCCAUGUGAGGCUGCAGUAAAGAGACUCUGACGCCACCUGCUGGUGACUGGAAACAACCUGAAUGGUGGAAAAGGAAGUUCAGACAAAACAACAUCUUGACAACACAGUCCAGCAUCAGAGGGGAAAAUAGGACAAAAAACUGUCACUGACUUUGAUAUUUAAUGUAAAUAUUUAACUUCAGCUGCUCUUUGUUAGCAGAAAUUCUCACAUUUCUCUUUUCCAUCAGAACGUUACUGAGGCAGAAACCAGAUCAGCUCAGUUUAAAAGUGCACAGAUGCUGUGUUGGUCUGAUUGUGUGGAGAAAAGAAAUCUGCAUGUAGUAAAAGGUAAAAAAGAAAGUUUA